GAACGCUGGCGGCGUGCCUAACACAUGCAAGUCGAACGGAGAUGUAAAUUUCGGUUAUAUCUUAGUGGCAACGGGUGAGUAACGCGUGAGCAACCUGACUCUUAGAGGGGGAUAACACCCGGAAACGAGUGCUAAUACCGCAUAAGACCACGACAUGGCAUCAUGACGAGGUCAAAGGAGCAAUCCGCUGAGAGAGGGGCUCGCGUCCCAUUAGAUAGAUGGCGGGGUAACGGCCCACCAUGUCAACGAUGGGUAGCCGAGCUGAGAGGCUGAUCGGCCACACUGGAACUGAGACACGGUCCAGACUCCUACGGGAGGCAGCAGUGGGGAAUAUUGGGCAAUGGGCGCAAGCCUGACCCAGCAACGCCGCGUGAGGGAAGAAGGCUUUCGGGUUGUAAACCUCUGUCCUUGGUGACGAAACAAAUGACGGUAGCCAAGGAGGAAGCCCCGGCUAACUACGUG
rnacentral:rRNA from 1 species